ACCCAGGAAGAGAAGUUUUUUUUAAUUAUUUAAUCCCUCUCCCUUCUCUUUUCUAACAUUACUAACCAACUCCUUCUGUAUCCUCUAUUUGGCCCUUUCCCUACCUAACUGUCCCCAUUUGCUAACUUCUUUUUUAACUUCUUUUGUUGUAAGGAUUAUGUUAUUUGAUUUUUUGUGAUUUGUUGAAUUGUUUUGAAUCAUUACUAAUCUUCUGCCAGUUGUAUAUUUUCAGGGACGGGAAGGAGGGAGGAUGCAAGAAGAUGAGGCUGAUCAGCAGAAGAAGAGAGGUCCAUUGUCCAGAUUGAAACAUUGGUCAACAUUGGCCCAAGUGGUCAGGGUUUGGCUGAUCUCGAUCCCCGAGAGGAAGUGAGGAUGAUCACCUGCAACAGAGUUCAAGCAUCGACUGCACGCCACCAAGAGUUGGCUUCUAAGGAAAGGAGACUGUCAGCGGAAGAGGAAUUCACAGAAAAUUAACAGAAGAGGA